UUUCGGCAGUGCGUUAGCUUAUACUUCCUCCGGAAACCCGCUGCAGCAGUGGACAAAGGCCCAGGCGGUUUAUUGUGGAGCAACACCUGUUCAGUUUAUUAUAGAAGGCGUUUCAGGAGACAGCAAGGCCGCUCAACUUGGAGUGGACAAAGUCUGCAUCGUCGACUGUUUGGAAACAUCGACCACAGAGACACCCUCCACCCCUGGGACUACACCCUCCACCCCAGACAUUACACCCUCCACCCCAGACCCUACACCCUCCACCCCAGACACUACACCCUCCACCCCUGGGACU